rnacentral:rRNA from 1 species
UAAGUAAGUGGUGGAAAUUAAACCAAAUGGGAUAUCUUUAGUAAUUGCGAAUGAACAAGGAUAUGCUUAGCUUGACAAAUGGAGCUAUUGGCUUUGAAUUGUAUUUGUGGAAUGUAUUACCAACAGAGGUGCAGGUGCCAGCCUAUUAAAUAAAGCGUCAAUGAGGGUGAGAAUCCUGUUUGUCAUGUGCAGCCCUUUGUGCACGGUGUAUAUUUGCUGAGUCACACUCCUUGGCAUUGGAAUGCAAAGUGGGUGGUAAGUUUCAUGUACAGGUAAACAUGCAAUUGAGACUGAUAGCACACAAGUACCAUGAGGGAAAUAUGAAAAGGACUUUGAAAAGAGAAUUAAAUGAGUUUGUAUUUGCUGAACACAAAGUAAACAGACUUGAUUUGCUUGGUGGGAGUGUUGCACUUGCUUGACAAGAGCUUUGGGCUGUGGGUGUAAUGAUUCUUUCUUUGCAUGCCAGUUUCUAUUUGUACACCUGAUUACCUUUGCACAUGAAUGAUAAGUCUCCUGUGGGGGGUGGAUUGCAUGUGCAUGUAACGAUUUGUGUUUUGAUAAAUGUGUCUGGUGUAUGUGUGUGUUCCUGUGCUUGGGGAUGCUUCCUUCCUUGGACUUACAAGCCCUGACACACACAUGCUGGCAAAAUGCUUCUGCUUGACCCG